rnacentral:lncRNA from 1 species
GAGUUGCUUAGCCCCUCCCCAUUGCUGAGGCUGGCUUUGAACUUUCAAUCCUCCUGCCUCAGUCUCCUGAGCCUCUAGGAUUACCUAAAACCCAUUAACAUAGCUGGGUGUGGCUGCCCAUGCCUGUAAUCCCAGCAACUCAGAAACCUGAGGAAGAAAUAUCACAAGUGGGAGGCCGGACUGGCAAGACUGUCUAAAAAUAAAAGUGACUCAGGAGGCUGAGAAAGGAGGAUCACAAGUUUGAGGCCAGCCUCAGUAACUUAGCAAGGCCUUAAGUAACUUAGUAAGACCCUGUCUCAAAAAAAUUAAAUAAAUAAAAAGCUCUGGGAAUGUGGCUCAGUGGUAAAAUCCCCUCUGGGUUCAAUCUCCAGUACCAAAAUAAUUAAUUAAUUAAUUAAAAGAAGUGCUGGAGGUGUAACUUGAUGGUAGAGCACUUGUCUAGCAUGUGGGAGACCCUGGGUUUGAUCUCCAACACACACAACAACAACAACAACAACAAAACAUUAAACAUGCCAUGAGCCAUGACAGAAUAUCGACAGGGAGGGGAAGUCCCACAAAGGUGAAGCUUAAAAAUGCUUUAUUUAAUAGCAUUAAAGUAUUCAUUACAAAUUAAAACAACAACAAAAGAAGUAUGUUUGCUCCUCUUCUGCCCAGGCCCCAGGGGUCACAUCAGAUGCUCUUGA